rnacentral:rRNA from 1 species
AGAGUUUGAUUAUGGCUCAGGACGAACGCUGGCGGCGUGCUUAACACAUGCAAGUCGAGCGAUGAAGCUCCUUCGGGAGUGGAUUAGCGGCGGACGGGUGAGUAACACGUGGGCAACCUGCCUCAUAGAGGGGAAUAGCCUUUUCGAAAGGAAGAUUAAUACCGCAUAUGGUAGCUUUAUCGCAUGGUAAUGCUAUUAAAGGAGUAAUCCGCUAUGAGAUGGACCCGCGUCGCGUUAGCUAGUUGGUGAGGUAACGGCUCACCAAGGCGACGAUGCGUAGCCGACCUGAGAGGGUGAUCGGCCACAUUGGGACUGAGACACGGCCCAGACUCCUACGGGAGGCAGCAGUGGGGAAUAUUGCACAAUGGGGGGAAAAACCCCCUGAUGCAGCAACGCCGCGUGAGUGAUGACGGCCUUCGGGUUGUAAAACUCUGUCUUUGGGGACGAUAAUGACGGUACCCAAGGAGGAAGCCACGGCUAACUACGUGCCAGCCGCGGC